rnacentral:rRNA from 1 species
GUGACUGGGGGCACCCUGACCGCAAUGCCGCGUGAGUGAAGAAGGCCUUCGGGUUGUAAAGCUCUUUUGUCAGGGAAGAAACACCGGCUCUAACACAGUCCGGGAAUGACGGUACCUGAAGAAUAAGCACCGGCUAACUACGUGCCAGCAGCCGCGGUAAUACGUAGGGUGCGAGCGUUAAUCGGAAUUACUGGGCGUAAAGCGUGCGCAGGCGGUUAUACAAAGACAGGCGUGAAAUCCCCGGGCUUAACCUGGGAAUGGCGCCUGUGACUGUAUAGCUAGAGUGUGUCAGAGGGGGGUAGAAUUCCACGUGUAGCAGUGAAAUGCGUAGAUAUGUGGAGGAAUACCAAUGGCGAAGGCAGCCCCCUGGGAUAACACUGACGCUCAUGCACGAAA